GGGCCCGCACAAGCGGUGGAGCAUGUGGUUUAAUUCGAUGCAACGCGAAGAACCUUACCUACUCUUGACAUCCUUGGAAUUCUCUAGAGAUAGAGAAGUGCCUUCGGGAACCAAGUGACAGGUGCUGCAUGGCUGUCGUCAGCUCGUGUCGUGAGAUGUUGGGUUAAGUCCCGUAACGAGCGCAACCCUCACCCUUAGUUGCCAUCAGCUUGGCUGGGAACUCUAAGGGGACUGCCGGUGAUAAACCGGAGGAAGGUGGGGAUGAUGUCAAGUCAUCAUGGCCCUUACGAGUAGGGCUACACACGUGCUACAAUGGGCAGUACAAAGGGUUGCUAAGCCGCGAGGUGGAGCUAAUCCCAGAAAGCUGCUCUUAGUCCGGAUUGGAGUCUGCAACUCGACUCCAUGAAGUUGGAAUCGCUAGUAAUCGCGAAUC
rnacentral:rRNA from 1 species